CGUUAUGUGAAUUUAUUUUUACAAAAACGAAGGAAAAACAUUCGCAUAGGUCCGAAGCGAUUCUGACUUGCAAAUCGAUGGUCUGACUUUGGUAUAGGGGCGAAAGACUAAUCGAACAGUCUAGUAGCU
rnacentral:ncRNA from 1 species